UCACGCAUGACACACUGCAUAUCAAUAAGCGGAGGAAAAGAAACUAACAAGGAUUCCCCUAGUAACGGCGAGUGAAGCGGGAAGAGCUCAAAUUUGAAAUCUUCAAGGUUUUCCCUUGACGAAUUGUAGUUUAAAGAAGUGUUUUCUGUUGAAGUUUUGGUAAAAGUUCUUUGGAAUAGGACAUCAUAGAGGGUGAGAAUCCCGUAUUUGACCAUUAUUUUCCAGCUGUGUGAUACACUUUCAAAGAGUCGGAUUGUUUGGGAAUGCAGUCCAAAAUGGGUGGUAAAUUUCAUCUAAAGCUAAAUAUUGGCGAGAGACCGAUAGCGAACAAGUACCGUGAGGGAAAGAUGAAAAGAACUUUGAAAAGAGAGUUAAACAGUACGUGAAAUUGUCAAAAGGGAAGCGUUUGACACCAGUGUUGUUUUCUCGAAAAUCAAUUAAAAAAGGCCGGAUUUUGUGUUGUAUUGACCUUAAAAGCUUUCUUCACUCUUUUCUUGUCUUUUUUAAUGCACUUUUCGUUUAACAAGUCAACAUCAGUUUCUUUUGUUGUAAAAGAGUCAUUGGAAGGUGGCUUUCUUUUCGGAGAAAGUGUUUAUAGCCUUGUACCUUCUGCAGUCGGAGAGAUUGAGGUCUGCAGCGUAUAUCCUACGGGGUUAGAUACAUUUGUGCUAAGUUAUAGCUUUUCAUAGACAACUUGUUGACUAUGUUAAGUCUUGUAGCUUACUCGCUUAUGCUAUUUUACCUACGCUUAGGAUGUAGAGCGCAUGUCUCUCUCU
rnacentral:rRNA from 1 species